GGGGGUAUAGCUCAGUGGUAGAGCACGUAAUUAGCAUGCACAAGGUCCUGGGUUCAAUCCUCAGUACCCUCA
rnacentral:tRNA from 1 species